rnacentral:tRNA from 1 species
GAGGGUAGAGCUCAAGUGGUAGAGCGCAUGUUUAGCAUGCAUGAGGUCCUGGGUUCAAGCCCCAGUACCUCCC